rnacentral:rRNA from 1 species
GACGUAGGGCGCGAGCGUUGUCCGGAUUUAUUGGGCGUAAAGAGCUCGUAGGCGGCUUGUCGCGUCGACCGUGAAAACCCGCGGCUCAACUGCGGGCCUGCAGCCGAUACGGGCAGACUAGAGGUAUGCAGGGGAGAACGGAAUUCCUGGUGUAGCGGUGAAAUGCGCAGAUAUCAGGAGGAACACCGGUGGCGAAGGCGGGUCUCUGGGCCGUAACUGACGCUGAGGAGCGAAAGCAUGGGGAGCGAACAGG